AACGAACGCUGGCGGCAGGCUUAACACAUGCAAGUCGAACGGGUGUAGCAAUACAUCAGUGGCAGACGGGUGAGUAACACGUGGGAACCUUCCUAGGGGUACGGAACAACUCAGGGAAACUUGAGCUAAUACCGUAUACGUCCGUAAGGAGAAAGAUUCAUCGCCCCUAGACGGGCCCGCGUCGGAUUAGGUAGUUGGUGGGGUAACGGCCUACCAAGCCUACGAUCCGUAGCUGAUCUGAGAGGANGAUCAGCCACACUGGGACUGAGACACGGCCCAGACUCCUACGGGAGGCAGCAGUGGGGAAUCUUGGACAAUGGGCGCAAGCCUGAUCCAGCCAUGCCGCGUGAGUGAAGAAGGCCUUAGGGUUGUAAAGCUCUUUUACCAGGGACGAUAAUGACGGUACCUGGAGAA
rnacentral:rRNA from 1 species